UAAAUUUGGGGGCACCCUGACCGCAAUGCCGCGUGAGUGAAGAAGGCCUUCGGGUUGUAAAGCUCUUUUGUCAGGGAAGAAACAGCAGCUCUAACACAGUCUGCGAAUGACGGUACCUGAAGAAUAAGCACCGGCUAACUACGUGCCAGCAGCCGCGGUAAUACGUAGGGUGCGAGCGUUAAUCGGAAUUACUGGGCGUAAAGCGUGCGCAGGCGGUUAUACAAGACAGGCGUGAAAUCCCCGGGCUUAACCUGGGAAUGGCGCCUGUGACUGUAUAGCUAGAGUGUGUCAGAGGGGGGUAGAAUUCCACGUGUAGCAGUGAAAUGCGUAGAUAUGUGGAGGAAUACCAAUGGCGAAGGCAGCCCCCUGGGAUAACACUGACGCUCAUGCACGAAA
rnacentral:rRNA from 1 species